UUAAACUGAAGAGUUUGAUCAUGGCUCAGAUUGAACGCUGGCGGCAGGCUUAACACAUGCAAGUCGAGCGGUAACAGAUCUAGCUUGCUAGAUGCUGACGAGCGGCGGACGGGUGAGUAAUGCAUAGGAAACUGCCCAGUAGUGGGGGAUAGCCCGGGGAAACCCGGAUUAAUACCGCGUACGCCCUUCGGGGGAAAGCAGGGGAUCUUCGGACCU
rnacentral:rRNA from 1 species